UGUUAAUAUUAUUAAAAUGCGUUUUUAUUUUUCUUUCUAUAUUCAUAAAAAUUUGCGUACUAAUAAACUGAUAAUCCGUAAAAAUGUAAUGAACAAUAAAAUGAUAAUUAAUUUAAAAUGAAAACAAUCAAGUUUUGCUAAAUUUCUCUAAUUUUUUCUUUAUAUGAGCAAAAUAUUUGAAUAUUGUCAAUUAAUAAGCUCUCUAACAUUCUAAAACUAUUCGAGGGUAACUGGUUGUAAAGAAUUAAUUCCUCGAGUUGUCUAAUACCGUUUAUUUGUACUAGUAAUAAUGAAACAAAAAACUACAAUAUCUAUAACACACAUGUUUUCAGGGCUUCUACCAGUUGUUUUUCAAUUACAAAACUGCUGCCAAUAUUUUAUUGGUUAUGAAAUCAAGCCCAGGAGCAUUCUUCUUAAGACUAACAUGAUAAAAAGC